rnacentral:rRNA from 1 species
CACGUAGGGUGCGAGCGUUGUCCGGAAUUAUUGGGCGUAAAGAGCUCGUAGGCGGUGUGUCGCGUCGGCCGUGAAAACCUGCAGCUUAACUGUGGGCUUGCGGUCGAUACGGGCAUCACUGGAGUUCGGCAGGGGAGACUGGAAUUCCUGGUGUAGCGGUGAAAUGCGCCGAUAUCAGGAGGAACACCGGUGGCGAAGGCGGGUCUCUGGGCCGAUACUGACGCUGAGGAGCGAAAGCGUGGGGAGCGAACAGG